rnacentral:lncRNA from 1 species
GAUAGCAUGUGUUUGUGAUUUCUGCAUAGAUGGAAUUCAUGAUUCGUGUUUAGGAUAGAGAUAUGCCUUUACGCCAUAUGUAGUCUAAUAAGAACUUGAACUUAAACCCUUUUUAAUUGUAAUUCACAUAGAGAUAUAAUGGGUUAAAUAAUUAGGGUGUUCAAAUUGAUUUUAUCAUCUGUGGAUUUGAGUUGAUAUGAGUAUGGUGCAUUGAGAGAUGACUAUAUUUUACUUUCGUGUUCUUGAUUAACAAUCCAGUAUAAAUAAUUUGGCUUAACAGGAAGUGUGUUGAUUUAAAUGUAACAAUAAGUGAAAUUG